rnacentral:rRNA from 1 species
AUUGAACGCUGGCGGCAGGCCUAACACAUGCAAGUCGAGCGGAUGAGAAGAGCUUGCUCUUCGAUUCAGCGGCGGACGGGUGAGUAAUGCCUAGGAAUCUGCCUGGUAGUGGGGGACAACGUUUCGAAAGGAACGCUAAUACCGCAUACGUCCUACGGGAGAAAGCAGGGGACCUUCGGGCCUUGCGCUAUCAGAUGAGCCUAGGUCGGAUUAGCUAGUUGGUGAGGUAAUGGCUCACCAAGGCGACGAUCCGUAACUGGUCUGAGAGGAUGAUCGUGCACACUGGAACUGAGACACGGUCCAGACUCCUAGGGGAGGCAGCAGUGGGGAAUAUUGGACAAUGGGCGAAAGCCUGAUCCAGCCAUGCCGCGUGUGUGAAGAAGGUCUUCGGAUUGUAAAGCACUUUAAGUUGGGAGGAAGGGCAGUAAGUUAAUACCUUGCUGUUUUGACGUUACCGACAGGAUAAGCACCGGCUAACUCUGUGCCAGCCGCCGCAGUAAAAC